rnacentral:rRNA from 1 species
GUAGGUGGCAAGCGUCGUCCGGAAUUAUUGGGCGUAAAGCGCGCGCAGGCGGUCCUUUAAGUCGGAUGUGAAAGCCCACGGCUCAACCGUGGAGGGUCAUUGGAAACUGGGGGACUUGAGUACAGAAGAGGAAAGCGGAAUUCCAAGUGUAGCGGUGAAAUGCGUAGAGAUUUGGAGGAACACCAGUGGCGAAGGCGGCUUUCUGGUCUGUAACUGACGCUGAGGCGCGAAAGCGUGGGGAGCAAACAGGAUUAGAUACCCUGGUAGUCCACGCCGUAAACGAUGAGUGCUAAGUGUUAGGGGGUUUCCCGCCCCCCUUAGUGCUGCAGCUAACGCAUUAAGCACUCCGCCUGGGGGAGUACGGCCGCAAGGCUG